rnacentral:tRNA from 1 species
CAACAAAUAGUUUAUAAAAAUAUGAACUUUGGGAGUUUAAGAAGGUUGUUUAACCUUUGUUGA